rnacentral:misc_RNA from 1 species
CCCACAAUCUUUUUGCUCCCCGCAGAGGCCUAGGUGCACGCAAGCCAUUACAGGAAAAUAAUUGAACAUUCAUGGCAAAACAAAGAUUCAUUAAUCCACCCUUUUGGUUUUGUUUCUUUCUAUGUUUAUCUAUUUUUAUUAUUUGAGCAUUUUCACACCAUAAAAUUAGAAUAAAUUCUUGUUUAGAUCACGAUAGACUUAAGACAGCACAAGAUUUUGAUAUCU